rnacentral:rRNA from 1 species
AUUGAACGCUGGCGGCAUGCCUUACACAUGCAAGUCGAACGGCAGCACGGGGCAACCUGGUGGCGAGUGGCGAACGGGUGAGUAAUGCAUCGGAACGUGCCAUUGAGUGGGGGAUAACGUAGCGAAAGUUGCGCUAAUACCGCAUAUUCUGUGAGCAGGAAAGCAGGGGACCGCAAGGCUUUGCGCUCUUUGAGCGGCCGAUGUCAGAUUAGCUAGUUGGUGAGGUAACGGCUUACCAAGGCGACGAUCUGUAGCGGGUCUGAGAGGAUGAUCCGCCACACUGGAACUGAGACACGGUCCAGACUCCUACGGGAGGCAGCAGUGGGGAAUUUUGGACAAUGGGCGCAAGCCUGAUCCAGCCAUGCCGCGUGAGUGAAGAAGGCCUCGG